AAUCAACGCUGGCGGCGUGCCUCAGACAUGCAAGUCGAACGCGAAAGUCCCCUUCGGGGGACAAGUAGAGUGGCGCACGGGUGAGUAACACGUAGGUAAUCUACCUUUGGAUGGGGAAUAACAACCGGAAACGGUUGCUAAUACCGCAUAAUGCAGCGGCACCUAAUGGUGACAGUUGUUAAAGCGGGGGAUCGAAAGACCUCGCGUCUGAAGAGGAGCCUGCGGCGGAUUAGCUAGUGGUAAGGUAAUGGCUUACCAAGGCUACGAUCCGUAACCGGCCUGAGAGGGCGGUCGGUCACACUGACACUGACAUACGGGUCAGACUCCUACGGGAGGCAGCAGUCGGGAAUUUUGGGCAAUGGGCGAAAGCCUGACCCAGCAACGCCGCGUGAAGGAUGAAAUCCCUCGGGAUGUAAACUUCGCAAGAACGGGAAGAAUAAGCGAGAGUUAAUAUCUUUCGUGAUGACGGUACCGUUUGUAAGCUCCGGCUAACUCCGUGCCAGCCGCCGCGGU
rnacentral:rRNA from 1 species